UUGUUGCAGUUAAAAAGCUCGUAGUUGAACCUUAGGCAAGGCGGCCUGGUCACCCACUGGGUGCACUGGGCUCGCCGCGCCUCACCUGCGGGGAACUAGUCGUGCUUCGGUGCGCUAGGGAACCGCGCCUUACUUUGAAGAAAUUAGAGUGUUUAAAGCAGGCUUUUGCUUGAAUACGCCAGCAUGGAAUAACAGGAUAGGACUUUGGUUCUAUUUUGUUGGUUUGAGGACCAAAGUAAUGAUUAAUAGGGCCAGUCGGGGGCAUUAGUAUUCUAUAGUCAGAGGUGAAAUUCUUGGAUUUAUAGAAGACUAACUAAUGCGAAAGCAUUUGCCAAGGAUGUUUUCAUUAAUCAAGAACGAAAGUUAGGGGAUCGAAGACGAUUAGAUACCGUCGUAGUCUUAACCAUAAACUAUGCCGACUAGGGAUCGGUGGAUGUCGCUUUUGACUCCAUCGGCACCUUACGAGAAAUCAAAGUUUUUGGGUUCUGGGGGGAGUAUGGUCGCAAGGCUGAAACUUAAAGGAAUUGACGGAAGGGCACCACCAGGAGUGGAGCCUGCGGCUUAAUUUGACUCAACACGGGAAAACUCACCAGGUCCGGACAUGGGAAGGAUUGACAGAUUGAGAGCUCU
rnacentral:rRNA from 1 species